UUGCCCAGUAGUUCAGUGGUAGAAUGCUUGACUGUUAAUCAAAGGGUCGCUGGUUCGAAUCCAGCCUGGGCAGGCC
rnacentral:tRNA from 3 species